rnacentral:miRNA from 1 species
CAAAGUUGAUGGUGUUUAUGACGUCGAAUAUCGACGUCAUAAACACCAAAGUUGAUGGUGUUUAUGACGUCGAAUAUCGACGUCAUAAACACCAAAG